GAUGAACGCUGGCGGCGUGCUUAACACAUGCAAGUCGAACGGUGAAGGCGGAGCUUGCUCUGCUGGAUCAGUGGCGAACGGGUGAGUAACACGUGAGCAAUCUGCCCCUGACUCUGGGAUAAGCGCUGGAAACGGCGUCUAAUACUGGAUACGAGCUGCGAAGGCAUCUUCAGCAGCUGGAAAGAAUUUCGGUCAGGGAUGAGCUCGCGGCCUAUCAGCUUGUUGGUGAGGUAAUGGCUCACCAAGGCGUCGACGGGUAGCCGGCCUGAGAGGGUGACCGGCCACACUGGGACUGAGACACGGCCCAGACUCCUACGGGAGGCAGCAGUGGGGAAUAUUGCACAAUGGGCGAAAGCCUGAUGCUGCAACGCCGCGUGAGGGACGACGGCCUUCGGGUUGUAAACCUCUUUUAGCAGGGAAGAAGCGAAAGUGACGGUACCUGCAGAAAAAGCGCCGGCUAACUACGUG
rnacentral:rRNA from 1 species